AGUGAACGCUGGCGGUAGGCCUAACACAUGCAAGUCGAACGGCAGCACAGUAAGAGCUUGCUCUUACGGGUGGCGGGUGGCGGACGGGUGAGGAAUACAUCGGAAUCUACUUUUUCGUGGGGGAUAACGUAGGGAAACUUACGCUAAUACCGCAGACGACCUUCGGGUGAAAGCAGGGGAUCUUCGGACCUUGCGCGAUUGAAUGAGCCGAUGUCGGAUUAGCUAGUUGGAGGGGUAAAGGCCCACCAAGGCGACGAUCCGUAGCUGGUCUGAGAGGAUGAUCAGCCCCACUGGAACUGAGACACGGUCCAGACUCCUACGGGAGGCAGCAGUGGGGAAUAUUGGACAAUGGGCGCAAGCCUGAUCCAGCCAUACCGCGUGGGUGAAGAAGGCCUUCGGGUUGUAAAGCCCUUUUGUUGGGAAAGAAAAGCAGCAGGUUAAUACCCCGCUGUUCUGACGGUACCCAAAGAAUAAGCACCGGCUAACUUCGUG
rnacentral:rRNA from 1 species